UACGGAGGGUGCAAGCGUUAUCCGGAUUUACUGGGUUUAAAGGGCGCGUAGGCGGCCUGCUAAGUCGAACGUGAAAUCCCUGGGCUCAACCCAGGAACUGCGUCCGAUACUGGUUGGCUUGAAUCCGGGAGAGGGAUGUGGAAUUCCAGGUGUAGCAGUGAAAUGCGUAGAUAUCUGGAGGAACACCGGUGGCGAAGGCGACAUCCUGGACCGGCAUUGACGCUGAGGCGCGAAAGCCAGGGGAGCAAACGGG
rnacentral:rRNA from 1 species